CCUGUCGUUACCUCCACAGCUAGCACACAGAGCUUGACCUUUUCUGUCGAUAUACAUGCAUGCUCCUGAACAAGUUAAAUAUGAAUCCUUAUCAUCAUGUAUGCAUGUGGAAAAGGAAGAGGCAAAGAUGCUUUGGGCUUUUCCUGCUGAUGACUGCUCCUGCUCGUGUUAGGUAGGGAUUUGUUUUCCUAUCUUAGUUUACACGUACCUGCAUACUACUUGAUUCAGAAUGUCUAUAUUUUUUUGAGAAUUAUAAAGUCUAUUUCAUUUACGCCCAUUGAUUCUAGUAAAAAUAUAUGAUCAUUUUUCGACAGGCCGAGGAGGUACAUAGGUGUAUACAAAGAGGUGAUCCUGAGUUUCUCCUUCUGAGGCGUUGCAUAGCGAGCAGUUCAGAUCCUCCUCGUCCUCAACCCUUAUCAUGAACAGAAGAAGCCAGAUUAUUUGCUGUUCGCAACUAACAUAAGAAAAAGAACAUGCAUAUGCCAUACAAGCAAGUUUGAAAAGCCAAGCUGUCUUGACCCAUACUACACCGCCACACAACUUGGGCAUUUUCCAUUGGUAUUUGCUCUCGAACAAGUUGUGUAAUUAUUGACUAGCGAGUGUAUAUAAACUGUUUUAUGUGUGCUUGAGAAGGGCUUGUGCAAGAUGUUCGGGUUAUUGUGAAGAUGAAAAAACCUUCUACCAGAUGACAAGGUCUUUGUAGUUUUGGAAUUCUU
rnacentral:lncRNA from 1 species